CACAUGUGUGUUUGUUCAACUGGUGGACAAAGCCUGAUUGACAAUGUAAAUUAAAUCCCCUUUUGAAGCCCUGAAAUCAUUGUUCAGUAUGAGUUUUGAGACAAACAAGACUGUGGUUUU
rnacentral:snoRNA from 1 species